GAUGAACGCUGGCGGCGUGCCUAAUACAUGCAAGUCGAGCGAACAGACGAGGAGCUUGCUCCUCUGACGUUAGCGGCGGACGGGUGAGUAACACGUGGAUAACCUACCUAUAAGACUGGGAUAACUUCGGGAAACCGGAGCUAAUACCGGAUAAUAUAUUGAACAGCAUGGUUCAAUAGUUAAAGACGGUUUUGCUGUCACUUAUAGAUGGAUCCGCGCCGCAUUAGCUAGUUGGUAAGGUAACGGCUUACCAAGGCGACGAUGCGUAGCCGACCUGAGAGGGUGAUCGGCCACACUGGAACUGAGACACGGUCCAGACUCCUACGGGAGGCAGCAGUAGGGAAUCUUCCGCAAUGGGCGAAAGCCUGACGGAGCAACGCCGCGUGAGUGAUGAAGGUCUUCGGAUCGUAAAACUCUGUUAUUAGGGAAGAACAAAUGUGUAAGUAACUAUGCACGUCUUGACGGUACCUAAUCAGAAAGCCACGGCUAACUACGUG
rnacentral:rRNA from 1 species